GUUUGAUCCUGGCUCAGGAUGAACGCUGGCGGCGUGCUUAACACAUGCAAGUCGAACGAUGAAGCCCAGCUUGCUGGGUGGAUUAGUGGCGAACGGGUGAGUAACACGUGAGUAACCUGCCCUUAACUCUGGGAUAAGCCUGGGAAACUGGGUCUAAUACCGGAUAGGAGCGUCCACCGCAUGGUGGGUGUUGGAAAGAUUUAUCGGUUUUGGAUGGACUCGCGGCCUAUCAGCUUGUUGGUGAGGUAAUGGCUCACCAAGGCGACGACGGGUAGCCGGCCUGAGAGGGUGACCGGCCACACUGGGACUGAGACACGGCCCAGACUCCUACGGGAGGCAGCAGUGGGGAAUAUUGCACAAUGGGCGAAAGCCUGAUGCAGCGACGCCGCGUGAGGGAUGACGGCUUCGGGUUGUAAACCUCUUUCAGUAGGGAAGAAGCGAAAGUGACGGUACCUGCAGAAGAAGCACCGGCUAACUACGUGCCAGCAGCCGCGGUAAUACGUAGGGUGCGAGCGUUAUCCGGAAUUAUUGGGCGUAAAGAGCUCGUAGGCGGUUUGUCGCGUCUGUCGUGAAAGUCCGGGGCUUAACCCCGGAUCUGCGGUGGGUACGGGCAGACUAGAGUGCAGUAGGGGAGACUGGAAUUCCUGGUGUAGCGGUGGAAUGCGCAGAUAUCAGGAGGAACACCGAUGGCGAAGGCAGGUCUCUGGGCUGUNACUGACGCUGAGGAGCGAAA
rnacentral:rRNA from 1 species